rnacentral:rRNA from 1 species
GAAAGCCGCCAAGUGUUACCCGCGGAAACGUAGGGGAACCUUGCCAGAAGGGGACCUGGUACAGGUGCUGCAUGGCUGUCGUCCAGCUCGUGUCGUGAGAUGUUCGGGUUAAGUCCCCAUAACGAGCGAAACCCUUGCCCUUAGUUGCUACGCAAGAGCACUCUAGGGGGACUGCCGGUGUCAAACCGGAGGAAGGCGGGGAUGACGUCAAGUCCUCAUGGCCCUUACGCCUGGGGCUGCACACGUGCUACAAUGCGGCAGACAAAGGGACGCCAACUGGCAACAGUGCGCAAAUCCCAAAAAAUGUCGCUCAGUUCAGAUUGUGGGCUGCAACUCGCCCGCAUGAAGCUGGAAUCGCUAGUAAUCGCGGGUCAGCGACACCGCGGUGAAUGUGUUCCUGAGCCUUGUACACACCGCCCGUCAAGCCACGAAAGGAAGGG